rnacentral:rRNA from 1 species
GACGGAGGGGGCUAGCGUUGUUCGGAAUCACUGGGCGUAAAGGGCGUGUAGGCGGACUUGCAAGUCAGGCGUGAAAUCCCUGGGCUCAACCCAGGAAUUGCACUUGAAACUGCAAGCCUUGAGUGUCGGAGAGGAAAGUGGAAUUCCUGGUGUAGAGGUGAAAUUCGUAGAUAUCAGGAGGAACACCAAUUGCGAAGGCAGCUCGCUGGGACGUUACUGACGCUGAGACGCGAAAGCGUGGGGAGCGAACAGG